GAUGAAGAACGUAGCGAAAUGCGAUAAGUAAUGUGAAUUGCAGAAUUCAGUGAAUCAUCGAAUCUUUGAACGCACAUUGCGCCCCCUGGUAUUCCGGGGGGCAUGCCUGUUCGAGCGUCAUUUCACCACUCAAGCCUCGCUUGGUAUUGGGCAACGCGGUCCGCCGCGUGCCUCAAAUCGACCGGCUGGGUCUUCUGUCCCCUAAGCGUUGUGGAAACUAUUCGCUAAAGAGUGCUCGGGAGGCUACGCCGUAAAACAAACCCAUUUCUAAGGUUGACCUCGGAUCAGGUAGGGAUACCCGCUGAACUUAAGCAUAUCAAUAAGCGGAGGA
rnacentral:misc_RNA from 1 species